rnacentral:rRNA from 1 species
UACAGAGGUCCCAAGCGUUGUUCGGAUUCACUGGGCGUAAAGGGUGCGUAGGUGGCCAGGUAAGUUCGAUGUGAAAUCUCCGGGCUUAACCCGGAAAGUGCAUUGAAUACUAUCUGGCUAGAGGGUUGGAGGGGGGACUGGAAUUCUCGGUGUAGCAGUGAAAUGCGUAGAUAUCGAGAGGAACACCAGUGGCGAAGGCGAGUCCCUGGACAACUCCUGACACUGAGGCACGAAAGCUAGGGGAGCAAACAGG